AUAUAUCAAUCUCUUCAGCUUUUGCUUGUUGAGUUAUUGGAUUUGGGGGUUUUGCUGGUCUCUUUCUUGAGGUUGGCUCCCCUAAAAUGCAUUAGCGGAACUUGUUGACCGUUCAUUGGUGUGAUAACUAUCUACGCUAGGAAUGGGAAACAUGGUUUAGCUUACAACAGUCCAUUGACUUGGACAAAUUUUUAUUA
rnacentral:misc_RNA from 1 species